rnacentral:piRNA from 1 species
UGCGAGAGAAACGCUUGUUCCGUCUCGGU